rnacentral:lncRNA from 1 species
GUCACUUCCUCUCACACCCCAUUGGUGAGAACUCAGUCAUGUGACUCCAUCUGACUGCAAAGGAGGCUGGGAAAUGCCAACCUAGGCAGCCAUGUUCCUGGCCACCAUUCUAUUACUUUGAAAGAAGAAAAUGGACUUAGGACGAAGGAUGUGGCUCAGACAUCUAGGAGAUCUGAAGUGGUACCAUCCAAGCCCUAGGGAAAUAAGAUGCAGCACCAAGUUCAAUCAUAACCACAUAUCUCAAGACGAGCCAAUGAGACAUCAUCCUGGGACUUCUGUUAGAAUUGCUAACCUUGGAGAACGGAACUGACAGCUGAUGAAGCCGACACAAAGGAGACCAGGGACUGGGUGGAGUGUUUUAUGCCUGUAAUCCCAGCACUUUGGGAAGCGGCGGCAGGAUCUCUCCUGAGGCCAGGAGUUCGAGACCAGCCUGGGCAACAUAGUGAGACUGUGUCUCUACAAAAAAUAAAAAAAAUUU